GAUGAACGCUGGCGGCGUGCCUAAUACAUGCAAGUCGAGCGAACAGACGAGGAGCUUGCUCCUCUGACGUUAGCGGCGGACGGGUGAGUAACACGUGGAUAACCUACCUAUAAGACUGGGAUAACUUCGGGAAACCGGAGCUAAUACCGGAUAAUAUAUUGAACCGCAUGGUUCAAUAGUGAAAGACGGUUUUGCUGUCACUUAUAGAUGGAUCCGCGCCGCAUUAGUUAGUUGGUAAGGUAACGGCUUACCAAGGCAACGAUGCGUAGCCGACCUGAGAGGGGGAUCGGCCACACUGGAACUGAGACACGGUCCAGACGCCUACGGGAGGCAGCAGUAGGGAAUCUUCCGCAAUGGGCGAAAGCUUGACGGAGCAACGCCGCGUGAGUGAUGAAGGUCUUCGGAUCGUAAAACUCUGUUAUUAGGGAAGAACAAAUGUGUAAGUAACUAUGCACGUCUUGACGGUACCUAAUCAGAAAGCCACGGCUAACUACGUG
rnacentral:rRNA from 1 species